rnacentral:rRNA from 1 species
UACGUAGGGGGCAAGCGUUGUCCGGAAUCAUUGGGCGUAAAGAGCGUGUAGGCGGCCCGGUAAGUCCGUUGUGAAAGUCAAAGGCUCAACCUUUGAAAGCCGAUGGAUACUGUGAAGCUAGAGUACGGAAGAGGCGAGUGGAAUUCCUGGUGUAGCGGUGGAAUGCGCAGAUAUCAGGAGGAACACCAAUAGCGAAGGCAGCUCGCUGGGACGUUACUGACACUGAGGCGCGAAAGCGUGGGGAGUGAACAGG